GUUGAUGGACCUUUAUUUUUGCUGCAGUCUGGCUGGGCACAAAAUCACGAGCCACCACACACCUUGUAGAUUCAAACAGCAACUCUUUAUUCUCGAACUGUCACUGGCACUUUACACACACGUUCUGGGCAAAUCCACGUUCUGGGCCAAAUCCACGUUCUGAAUCCCAAAUACUCUCUGAAUCCCACGAGAACUCAAGCAGUGGGCGCGCCUGAGGCAGCAGGAUAUGCCCUAUUCCCAG
rnacentral:lncRNA from 1 species